AAGGAAGACGUUCCUCCAGGAGCCUUUCACCGAGCUCAGGCCUGAGGCUUAGGAGACCCGAAGGUGCGAGAUCCCGACAGCCUCGGCAGCCUCGGAGGGAUGAGGUAGCUUCCAGACCCUCAGGGCCACUUUGGGGGCCCCUACCGGGGAAGGAGAAAUGGUCUUGUUUUACCGCCAUGGAGCUCUGAACUACGACAUCCUCCGCCAACGUCAAGCAGGACUUCAGCGGGACUGGAUGUGGCUCAUGACAGCCACUUCCACAUUGUUCCCAGAAGGGGGAGCCAAAGGGCAGGAGGUCGCAGAGGCAGGAGCCUUCCAUCUCUUGUGCGAGUGAGACGAGCCGCUGGUCUUCUCUUCCGCAAGUCACCAGUCGGGAGUCAAAGUCCACCCACAGAUGCUGCAGAAAGCGACAGAGCUUGCUUCGAAAGCCUGAACAUCACUGCGGUCUGGGGUUGUAAGCGGGCACGAGGGGCUCAUGGGAGGGUGGCGUAAGUGCCUUCCUGCCCAUCCUCAAGCCGGGUCCUGGAGCCAGCUACCUACCUCAGCAAUUUCCCCGUUGUCAGUUCCAGGCCAGGGAAGACUUGUAAGAUCACUCGCAAGUAGAAUGUGCGGUCAGAGUUGAGGGGAG
rnacentral:lncRNA from 1 species